rnacentral:rRNA from 1 species
UACGAAGGGGGCUAGCGUUGCUCGGAAUCAUUGGGCGUAAAGAGCGUGUAGGCGGCCACUUAAGUCCUGCGUGAAAUCUUGCGGCUCAACCGCAAGCGGUCGUGGGAAACUGGGUGGCUAGAGUGCGGGAGAGGAGAGUGGAAUUCCUGGUGUAGCGGUGGAAUGCGCAGAUAUCAGGAAGAACACCCGUGGCGAAGGCGGCUCUCUGGAACGCAACUGACGCUGAGACGCGAAAGCGUGGGGAGCAAACAGG